rnacentral:rRNA from 1 species
ACAAGCGGUGGAUCAUGUGUUUAAUUCGAUGAUACGCGAAGAACCUUACCAGGUCUUGACAUCCCCCGCGAUGCUUUAGAGAUAAAGCGGAGGUAUUCGGGGAGACAGGUGGUGCAUGGUUGUCGUCAGCUCGUGUCGUGAGAUGUUGGGUUAAGUCCCGCAACGAGCGCAACCCCUAUUGCUAGUUACCAUCAUUAAGUUGGGGACUCUAGCGAGACUGCCAGUGAUAAACUGGAGGAAGGUGGGGAUGACGUCAAAUCAUCAUGCCCCUUAUGACCUGGGCUACAAACGUGAUACAAUGGCUGGAACAAAGGGAUGCGAAGCAGUGAUGUGGAGCGAAACCCAUAAAAACAGUCUCAGUUCGGAUUGAAGUCUGCAACUCGACUUCAUGAAGUCGGAAUCGCUAGUAAUCGCGGAUCAGAACGCCGCGGUGAAUACGUUCUCGGGGUUU